CGGGGUGUAGCGCAGCUUGGUCAGCGUACUUGACUGGGGGUCAAGGGGUCGUGAGUUCAAAUCUCACCACUCCGACCA
rnacentral:tRNA from 1 species